UGCUUGCAUAGAAGCCUUAGGGCUCCUGUUACCUUGGAGCAUUGUAUUAUCAAUUACCCUAAUUAGAGUUCUGAACCUGCCUGGCACCAUGUAUUUUUCACUCAUUUUUAACUUUUUCUUGCCAGGCUCCACAGCCUACACUCAGAACCUUUCCUUCAAAGCAAAGCAAAAAAAGAAAGAAAGAAAAAGCAAGCAAGGUGAAUGCCAGUUUGAUUGGUGGCAGGCUGCAGACUCUGAAGGCUGUUCUCCAUCAGAGCCUGCACAGCGAGGACCUGUGUUUGCAUGGGAAGCACGAAGCACAAAGGAGGUGCUCAGGCCUCACCUCGCACAUUUAAUCACUCCUGUGAAUGGGUGUCAUUGAGGUCCUGGCAGCCCAGUCCCAGCAUGCUGCAUCCCCCCGAGGUACCAUUGCCGUGUGAGCUGCAAGCGGCACAGAGAGGCAGGUGGAUGGUGCUGAAGCCAGUGAAAAGCUCACAGAAACAGCAGCCUCUCCUGGGAAGAUACCUCCUCAUGGACGAGUGAUAAGCCUUUCCCCCAGAGUGCAGGAGCUAGGCUGCAGAGAACAAGGCACAGCACACUCUCCUGGCUGCUCCAGCUUGUGGCAGCCCUCACUGAACCCACUGCGAUGGGAAUCGUUGUACAAGGUGCCCAUCCCUCACUUCAAGCCUGCGUUCCUCCUCCCCACCACUCCCGGCUUCCAUCAGCAUCCUACAGUGCUGUCCUUCCCUUUUGGCCUACUGGCAAGGAACAAGGAACAAGGAACAAGUCCAUCCUGGCAUAUAACCACCGUGCAGAGCAGCUGCCAUCCCCAGCCCCAGCACCCUGCAGACAGACCUUCCUUGGAGCCGUGCAUGGUGUGUAUUUGGUUGCGGAGUUCCUCCUAGAAAUGCAUCGGUUUGGAGAUUCCUACAGCCACGUGGGACCUGAUUGGAUAAUGAAAAUCUCAUCUGCAGGGAUGAGCUCCAACGACGUGCUCCUGCUAGUUGCAUCUGCUGUCCUGUGACACCACUUAGCAUUUUUAUAAAGCCUGCCAUGAUAGCACUGGUAGGCUGGAAGGAGCUGGAUGGGGGUGAAGGGGAGGAGAAGAAGAUUUUUCUCUUUUUGAUGGCUAAGAAUUUUUCCUCCUCUGUUCCUCCGCAAGCAACCUGGAAAAAGAUAAACAC
ensembl:lncRNA